UUUUAAAUUCACUCCAUUCUUUAGCACCAAUCAAAUUUUCAAAUAGAUUAUUAAUUAAAAAAAUAUUAAAUUAAAUAAAAAAUAGCUACAAAAAAUAAAAAAUUUAAUUUUAACGACGUUAACGCUUCCACGUAAACCCUAAACCCUAAAUCUUAAAUUCAAAACCCCAUACCCUAAAUUCUAAACCCAAAUCCAAACCCCUAAACCCAAACCCUAUACCCUAAACCCUAAACCCUAAUCAUAGAUCCUAAACCCAAAUUAUAUACCAUAAACCCAAAAACUAGACUAUAAACCUAAACUCUAUACCCUAAACUCAAGUCCUAGACCCUAAACCCAAACCGUAAACCUUAAACCCAAAUUAUAUACCCUAAACCCAAAAC
rnacentral:lncRNA from 1 species